GUUGCUUGCUUUGGCAAAACAUAUACUAAAACUGUAACAUACAGAGAAGAUUAGCAUGGCCUCUGCAGAAGGAUGACACGUAAAUCCAUGAUGCACUCCAUAUUUUU
ensembl:snRNA U6 U6 spliceosomal RNA